CUGAAAACUCCAAAAGGAAUUGACGGGGGGGCCCCACAAGCGGUGGAGCAUGUGGUUUUAAUUCGAAGCAACGCGAAGAACCUUACCAGGUCUCCCCCAUCCUCCGAAAACCCUAGAGAUAGCGCUUCUCCUUCGGGAGCAGAGUGACAGGUGGUGCAUGGUUGUCGUCAGCCCGUGUCGUGAGAUGUUGGGUUAAGUCCCGCAACGAGCGCAACCCUUGAUCUUAGUUGCCAUCAUUAAGUUGGGCACUCUAAGGUGACUGCCGGUGACAAACCGGCGGAAGCUGGGGAUGACGUCAAAUCAUCAUGCCCCUUUC
rnacentral:rRNA from 1 species